AGCAGCCGCGGUAAUUCUAGCUCCAAUAGCGUAUAUUAAAGUUGUUGCAGUUAAAAAGCUCGUAGUUGAAUUUCGGGAUUAGUACGCUGGUCAUGCCUUUGGUAUGUACUGGUGUUACUGAUUCCUACCUUCUGACGAACCGUUAUGUCAUUAAUUUGGUGUGGCGGGAAAUCAGGACUGUUACUUUGAAAAAAUUAGAGUGUUUAAAGCAGGCUCGCGCUUGAAUACAUUAGCAUGGAAUAAUGAAAUAGGACGUUUAAUCCUAUUUUGUUGGUUUCUAGGAUUGACGUAAUGAUUAAUAGGGAUAGUUGGGGGCAUUAGUAUUCAAUUGUCAGAGGUGAAAUUCUUGGAUUUAUUGAAGACUAACUACUGCGAAAGCAUUUGCCAAGGAUGUUUUCAUUAAUCAAGAACGAAAGUUAGGGGAUCGAAGACGAUCAGAUACCGUCGUAGUCUUAACCAUAAACUAUGCCGACUAGGGAUCGGAUGAUGUUAUUUUUAAUGACUCAUUCGGCGCCUUAAC
rnacentral:rRNA from 1 species